rnacentral:rRNA from 1 species
AACAAACGCUGGCGGCGUGCCUAAUACAUGCAAGUCGAACGGGGUAGCAAUACCUAGUGGCGCACGGGUGAGGAACGCGCGGAUAAUCUGCCUUAGAGUGGGGGAUAACUAGUCGAAAGAUUAGCUAAUACCGCAUAAGACCACAGGAGCUGCGGCUCUAGGGGUCAAAGGUUUUUCGCUCUAAGAUGAGUCCGCGUAAGAUUAGCUAGUUGGUGAGGUAACGGCUCACCAAGGCGACGAUCUUUAACUGGUCUGAGAGGAUGAUCAGUCACACUGGAACUGAGACACGGUCCAGACUCCUACGGGAGGCAGCAGUAGGGAAUAUUGCGCAAUGGAGGAACCUCUGAUGCAGCGACGCCGCGUGAGUGAUGAAGGCCUUCGGGUCGUAAAGCUCUGUCGCAGGGGAAUAACACAAUGAAUGUACCCUGUAAGAAAGGAUCGGCUAACUUCGUGCCAGCCGCCGCGGUAAAAC